UACGGAGGGUGCAAGCGUUAUCCGGAUUCACUGGGUUUAAAGGGUGCGUAGGCGGGUAGGUAAGUCAGUGGUGAAAUCUCCGAGCUUAACUUGGAAACUGCCGUUGAUACUAUCUAUCUUGAAUACCGUGGAGGUGAGCGGAAUAUGUCAUGUAGCGGUGAAAUGCUUAGAUAUGACAUAGAACACCAAUUGCGAAGGCAGCUCACUACGCGGUUAUUGACGCUGAGGCACGAAAGCGUGGGGAUCAAACAGG
rnacentral:misc_RNA from 1 species